AUCGCUUUUCGGCCUUUUGGCUCAGAUCAAGUGUAGUAUCUGUUCUUAUCAGUUUAAUAUUUGAUACGUCCCCCAUCGGGGGACUACAUAUUAAAUGGAUUUUUCGAACAGGGAGUCGGAAAUGGGGCUUGCUCCGUCCGCUCCACGCAUCGACCCGGUAUUGCAGUACCUCCGGGAAUGGUGCAACACUU
rnacentral:snRNA from 8 species